UACAAGAGAUAUUAUUGUACCAAUAGGUGAGUUUCAAAAUUUGAUACAAUAAUUACUUGUGUGAUAACAACAUCAUAAAAAGGCAACACCCCUACCAUCAAACAGAAUAAUCAGAUAGUUUUCUUCUUGGAGAAGUAGAGAAAAAGAAAGCUGAUUGUUUAGCUUUGCCAUGUCCACAACAAGACAGAUACAAUAGCAACACAAACUUAGUAAAGAAAAAGACAUGUUUUGAGAAAUAUACUUUAGACCCUCUUUUGGUGUGGCUUCAUAUAGCUACAUAUAUAUGCUUUGACAAGAAAGCUUUGAUCUUUUUAGCUUCUUUCUUUACCCCCUUUAGCCUCUUGUUUCUGAAGAAGAGUUGCUCCUUAAAACUGAGGUGAAACAGGAAGCUGAAGAAUGGUCUGAAAAAAGUUUUUUGCAUGGAGAGUCAAAGAAUAGGAGAGAGUGGUAGUUUAUCAGCUGAAUCAGGACCUUCACACCACCAUCACAAUAUGUCUUAUGCAUUUUUUCGUGGCCUAAAUCCUCCUAAUACAAGUUUCAUGUAUCAUUCCACUCCAAAUAAUCAAGAACCGCCAGCUUUUGAUUUUGGGGAGUUGGAAGAAGCUAUUGUAUUGCAAGGAGUUAAGAUGAGCAAUGAUGAAGCAGCUAAAGCAUCUUUAUAUGCAGCCNUAUGCAACUACAAACAGACCUGCUGCAACUCUGGAGAUGUUCCCUUCUUGGCCUACGAGAUUCCAUCACACCCCAAGGGGAAGCUCAAAAUCAGGAGAAGAGAGUAGUGAUUCAGGUUCAGCACUAAACACUUUUUCAAGCAGAGGUGAACCUCAUUUGGAACCAGAAUCUCCUGUCAGUGGAAAACCAUCUUCAGAUUACCAGUCCCUUGAACAGAAUCAGCAGCAAAUUCAGAUACCACAACAACAACUUCAAGAAAUGGCAAGUGAUAGUCCAAGAACAAUAGUGUCACAUAUUGAGCCAGCUUCAAAACCCAACUAUGAAAAGAGAAAGGGUGCUGGUUCAACCUCAGAUAGGGUGGUUGACGCUAAGACUUUGAGACGUUUAGCUCAAAAUAGAGAAGCAGCAAGGAAGAGUAGACUAAGAAAAAAGGCUUAUGUACAACAGCUAGAAACAAGUAGGAUAAGACUUGCUCAGCUAGAACAAGAACUUCAGAGGGCGAGAUCUCAGGGGCUUUUCAUGGGAGGUGGUGCUGCUGCUGGUGCCAACAUCAGCUCUGGUGCUGCAAUAUUUGACAUGGAAUAUUCAAGAUGGUUAGAUGAUGAUCAAAGGCACAUUUCUGAGCUUAGAACUGCAUUGCAAGCACAUUUAGGAGAUGGCGAUCUUAGAAUAAUUGUUGAUGGAUAUAUUGCUCAUUACGAUGAAAUUUUCCUACUAAAAGGAGUUGCAGCUAAAUCUGAUGUAUUUCAUCUCAUCACUGGAAUGUGGACUACCCCAGCUGAACGCUGCUUCCUUUGGAUGGGUGGUUUUAGGCCUUCUGAGUUGAUCAAGAUGUUGAUAACACAAUUGGACCCGUUAACGCAGCAGCAAGUUGUUGGAAUUUAUAGUCUGCAGCAAUCAUCGCAACAAGCAGAAGAAGCACUUUCACAGGGUUUGGAACAAUUACAACAAUCUUUAAUUGAAACUGUUGCUACUGGUUCUCUCAAUGAUGGUAUGCAUCAUAUGGCUGUUGCCUUAGGCAAGCUUGCCAAUCUCGAAGGCUUCGUUCGCCAGGCUGAUAAUUUGAGACAACAAACUCUUCAUCAAUUGCACAGAAUAUUGACAGUUAGACAAGCAGCAAGGUGUUUCUUGGUGAUAGGGGAAUAUUAUGGUCGAUUACGAGCCUUAAGUUCCCUAUGGGCAUCACGUCCUAGAGAGACGAUGAUGGUAGAUGAUAACUCAUGUCAAACAACAACAGAGUUACAGAUGAUACAAGCGUCCCAACACCAUUUCUCAAAUAUGUGAUCACAUCAUUCUUAGCCCGAGAGAAUGUUCAUUCCUCCUUUAAUUUGAUGAUUCCCAAUGAUGUGGAUUGAAAGAAAGUUGAGAACGGGCACAGAUUUGUUGAUGAUAAUCAAGUUGUCGCAUUAUGGUUCUGCGAGCUACGUAUUUAGAUUUUAGAUGAGAUAAGAUAGGAUUUGUUUUUCUUUUUUAUUUAUUUGAUGUAGUUUCUUGAUAUCUCUAUAUUAUUACUCUUGAUCUUGUAAAUGUACAAAUCAAUUUUAUUGUGCACAAGGAGGCUUAUCACUAGGGUAAUGAAAUAAUAUUGAAAAUAGCAAAAAAGAAUGUUAAAUAUAUGAAGAUUAUUUAUCUUUGAGCA